AUCACCUGGGGAUUUUGUUAAAAUGCAGAUUCUUAUUCAGUAGGUUGGAGAUGGGGCCUGAGAUUCUGCAUUUCUAACAAGCUCUCAGGUGGUGAAUG
rnacentral:pre_miRNA from 1 species